CUACGGGCGGCAGCAGUGGGGAAUAUUGCACAAUGGAGGAAACUCUGAUGCAGCAACGCCGCGUGGAGGAUGACACUUUUCGGAGCGUAAACUCCUUUUAUAUAGGAAGAAGAUGACGGUACUAUAUGAAUAAGCGCCGGCUAGCUCCGUGCCAGCAGCCGCGGUAAUACGGAGGGCGCAAGCGUUACUCGGAAUCACUGGGCGUAAAGAGCGUGUAGGCGGAUUAAAAAGUCAGAAGUGAAAUCCUAUAGCUUAACUAUAGAACUGCUUCUGAAACUCUUAAUCUAGAAUAUGGGAGAGGUAGAUGGAAUUUCUGGUGUAGGGGUAAAAUCCGUAGAGAUCAGAAGGAAUACCGAUUGCGAAGGCGAUCUACUAGAACACUAUUGACGCUGAGACGCGAAAGCGUGGGGAGCAAACAGGAUUAGAUACCCCCGUAGUC
rnacentral:rRNA from 1 species